CCUACGGGAGGCAGCAGUGGGGAAUAUUGGGCAAUGGGCGCAAGCCUGACCUAGCAACGCCGCGUGAGGGAUGAAGGCCUUCGGGUUGUAAACCUCUUUCAGUAGGGAAGAAGCGAAAGUGACGGUACCUAAAGAAGAAGCACCGGCUAACUAUGUGCCAGCAGCCGCGGUAAUACAUAGGGUGCAAGCGUUGUCCGGAAUUAUUGGGCGUAAAGAGCUCGUAGGUCGUUUGCCGCGUCGAUUGUGAAAAUCUGAGGCUCAACCUCAGACCUGCAGUCGAUACGGGCAAACUAGAGUGUGGUAGGGGAGACUGGAAUUCCUGGUGUAGCGGUGGAAUGCGCAGAUAUCAGGAGGAACACCAAUGGCGAAGGCAGGUCUCUGGGCCAUAACUGACACUGAGGAGCGAAAGCGCGGGGAGCGAACAGGAUUAGAUACCCUGGUAGUCCGCGCCGUAAACGGUGGGCACUAGCUGUGAGGACCUUCCACGGUCUUCGCGACGCAGCAAACGCAUUAAGUGCCCCGCCUGGGGAGUACGAUCGCAAGAUUAAAACUCAAAGGAAUUGACGG
rnacentral:rRNA from 1 species